CUGUGAUAUCUCCUGGUCUCUGAUUUCUUUCCAAAUGACUGAAUGUAUACAGGCAUACUUUGUUUUAUUGUGUUUCACAGAUACUGGAUUUUUUACAAAUUGAAGGUUCGUGGCAAUUAUGCACCAAGCAAGUCUAUCAGGGCCAUUUUUUCCAACAGCAUGUGCUCACUUUCCUCCCUAGUCCCUGAGACACAAGAAUAUUGCAGUUAGGCCAAUUAAUAACCCAACAACGGCCUCUGAGUAUUCACGUGAAAGGGAGAGUUGCACCCUGAUUAGUCAGCAGCCAUCAACAUGGAGGCAAAACCCUCCACCAGCAAGAAGAUUAUGACUC
rnacentral:lncRNA from 1 species